rnacentral:rRNA from 1 species
UACAGAGGGUGCAAGCGUUGUUCGGAAUCACUGGGCGUAAAGGGCGUGUAGGCGGCGGGGUGUGUCCGGUGUGAAAUCCCUCGGCUCAACUGAGGAAUGGCAUUGGAAACUACCUCGCUCGAGUGCGGGAGAGGGUGGCGGAAUUUCCAGAGUAGAGGUGAAAUUCGUAGAUACUGGAAGGAACACCUGAGGCGAAGGCGGCCACCUGGCCCGUAACUGACGCUGAUACGCGAAAGCGUGGGGAGCAAACAGG